GUGAGGUGUUAAUGGAAAAAUCCAACUUCCUUUUCUUCCAAAGAUGAUGACUGAAACCAAAGUGGAGCUUUCCCUGAAACUUUCUGAGAUGCAAGUGGGUGUUAAAUGGUUCAGCAAAGCCAAGCCAGAGCAGUUGGUGUGCUUUGAAAUGAAGCAACAUUGGAAAAAUGAAAUCUACUGAAAGAUCACUACGUGUUUCAAAGGCCUUCAGACUCAGACUGGAACUGCACCGUUGGCUCUCCUGGGUGGGUCUCCAGCUUGCUGACCACAGACCUUGAGACUUCUCAGCCUUUAGAAUCAUGGAAGCCAAUUCCUUAUAAUAAUAUAUAUCCUUUUCCUAGUCUGUGGACUUUUCCCAGCUCCAGACAGACAACCUUCUAUAAACUCCAGGAUGCUCCAUCAAUGCCGUCUGGACUCUACAGAUUUUGACCCUGAAGUAAAGUAGGAAAGGCUAUGAGGACAUGUUAAAUGUUGUACUACCGCCUGAAGCCUUUUCUUCUUUAAAUUUUUCAACAAGAGUUGAAUGCACACGUGGAGCUUAAUUGGACAACAACUUUUCUCCUCUUCUGUGGGAUCCCGUCAGUGCUUUAAGCAAUGAGAAGGCAGCUCAUUUCCAAGUUUGUGUGGUAAAUUUGGGGCAAGUGGGAGAAAAGAAAGAAAGGCUGAGUCUUAUAGGGUGUGAUUUGGUUCUAGACAUGCUUAUGUUACUUUUUAUAAGAUUAUCCAUUUGACUAGAUUUCUUUCCUGCUGACAAAAGAGGCAAUUUCUACAUAUAAAAUAAAUCUGAUUAAAA
rnacentral:lncRNA from 1 species